rnacentral:rRNA from 1 species
GACGAACGCUGGCGGCGUGCUUAACACAUGCAAGUCGAACGGGAUCCAUGGGAGCUUGCUCCCGGAAGAUCUAGUGGCGAACGGGUGAGUAACACGUGAGGAACCUGCCCUUCACUGGGGAAUAACUCGGGGAAACUCGAGCUAAUACCGCAUACCUUCCACUGGUCGCAUGGCCGGCGGAAGAAAGAUUUAUCGGUGAUGGAGGGCCUCGCGGCCUAUCAGCUUGUUGGUGGGGUAACGGCCCACCAAGGCAACGACGGGUAGCUGGUCUGAGAGGACGAUCAGCCACACUGGAACUGAGACACGGUCCAGACUCCUACGGGAGGCAGCAGUGGGGAAUCUUGCGCAAUGGGCGAAAGCCUGACGCAGCAACGCCGCGUGCGGGAUGACAGCCUUCGUGGUUGUAAACCGCUUUCAGCAGGGACGAAGCGCAAGCGACGGUAGGUGCAGAAGAAGGACCGGCCAACUACGUGCCAGCAGCCGCAGUAA